AGCCACAGCCAUGUCACCAUGCAGCCCAAGACCGGUUACUCACUGAAGCUAAGCAGGGCUGAGCCUGGUCAGUACCUGGAUGGGAGACCACUAGGGAACACUAGGUUGCUGUUGGAA
rnacentral:rRNA from 1 species